AUUUUAGCAGGUAACUGAUAGGUACAAAGCUGGAAUUACAGGUCUGGUGUGGUUCUAGGGAUAGGUCUAGCUUAUUACUUUUGUAAAACCAGUGAGGCCUCUGGCUGCUGUAGCCUAAUGCUUUAGGGAGUCCUAAAACUCACAAGUUGCUCUUUCUCUUCUGAGCUUUUCUGCCUUUCCUUCAAUCAGCCCUUUGGGAGCAUCUCCCUUGCUCUCACGCAGACUCAGAGAAAACCCUAUUAAAAAGACUGCAGCAAGUCUGGCUCAGCCAGUGCUCUUAAUGUAAAAAUAUGAGGCACAUAAUUGCUGUUAACACUCAUAACUCUGUGCAAAGUUAGCCAGUGUUUUUAAUGGGGCUUCUUCACAGUUACAUUAUGGUCCUGAUGAGGAUGUCAUUGCUUCAUUAGUUUUCUCCCCUUAUAGUUUUCCUGCAUUUUGAUAGCAAAUGAACCUUUGCUGUCAAGGACAGAGCCAGAGCACAUGCUCUUGGGAACCACAUGAUGAUAUCACUUACAGGUAGGUUUUACUAUGUAAGUGACCAGAUAUCAGUGUAGUAAGAAGAGUUAGGGAAGAAAACUUGCAAAAAUUAAGUGAGUUUAGUAAAUUUUAUGGUAAUGAUUUUAUAUACGUAGAUAUUGUGGUGGUAAAAGUGAGGAGAUUGAUAUACUCCAACUACUAAUGUAUACUUCAUUAACUUUAUUAAGUAAAAUUACUGAAGACUUCAUAAAUGUCAAAUGCUAGUCCCUGCAUAAAGUGGUAUCAUAGCGUUUAUAAGCACCAUUGAUGGCUGGAGUAUACGUGUGUUGUAGCAGAAGCAAGAUCACUUUAAAGAACUCGGAGGUGUAUAUCUAGUUUCCAUCAAAUAAUUACAUGAACACCUGUAGCCCCUGAUUUUUGAGAUGCUGAACACCUUUGCUCUGGCUGGAGGCAGAAGGAGAAACCUGGCAUCAUGUGUUGUUACAGAGGUCCCUGGGCCCAUUCCUUCUCCUCCAGCUCUCACUGGGUGGCACAGUCUCUGGGUUAAACACUUCAGACCUACUUAAUACUAAUUAUUCACCCCCAAUCUUUGCAGAUGAAACAUAGAUUCAGCAAUCCCUUUCAAAACAAGGGAAAACCUUUCAGGGUCAUGAGCCUGGGUCUUGUUCCCACAGAAUUCAGAAGGAACAGGUACAUAUCUCUCCAUUUUUAAUAACGUUUUUAGUACAGUAGCAUAUUUUUCACCAUACUGAGCAAAACCUCUUGUGCUAACAACUGUAACCACCCAAGGUGUUCUGGAAAGAUCUACACAAAAGGGUCUGGGGGGAGCAAGAAGGACAGGUUGCCCUCGUUAAUGUUAAUGUGCUAUCAGGUUAAGUGGCCAAACCUGUGUUGAGAGGGGUGUGAUGGGGCAGCUUUGCAGCAGGAAGCUUUGUGUGAGCAGGCUCAGAGUGGAGCUUUCUGCAUGGACAAAGCUACUUUGGGUCACGGUGUGGCUGAGUUUGGGGAGGCAGGUAAGAGUUUUUCUAUGAUACAGUGCUUUUCUGGAUUCUGAUCCUAGACCUGGUUUGCCUGCUAUGUAAUGCUAGUGAACAGUUUUGGUGCAGUUUAGAGCUGAAACUCCAGGACUUCUGCUCAUCUGCUUCUGAUGAUGAGGUUUCAGAAAGCUGAAGAGAUCUUCCUUCAUGUCCAGGCAACACAAAGUGAAGAAUGCAAUGCUGAUUCAACAGGUUUCAAGUCCCUGCAGGGUAUGACAGGCAAUUGGUAGCAGUCCAGGCAGCAAUACAUACAACAUGAUAGUUGUUGAGAAUGAAGCGUCGGCCCUUUCAUGAGGAUGUUAUGCCUUCACUUGCAGAGGGAGCCCCUGCACUCUGUACACUGCCUGUCACACCAGCUGAGCACCAGGAAGUCAAGAAGGUGGAGCUCCAAUACUGCGAUGCUGCGCUGCAAAGGUUACACUUGUCACCUGGACAUGGUUCUCAAUGACAGGAGAAGUUCAACAACUGCACAGGCUAAACAAGAAAGAACAGAAAACUGAGAGAGGGAAAUGAGAAGUUAAGAUUCUGGGGAGAGAUUUUCUCUCAAAACAUGUUAGUUUCUUGCUAUGCCUUUAACAGAAACAUCUUGCAAUACCCUCUUCAAUUUACUUUUAAAAUUAUAGAUGCUUAUUUCUGCCUAAUGAAACAUUUUCUUCAAUUAAGAGUAUUACCUGGAAAGAAGUACUUAGCAAUCACCAUUAGUGACCACUAACCUUGCAAAGCUCUUCCUUAUUUUAAUCCACACAUUUGGGAUACCAGUGCAGAAAAAACUACCACUUCUUUCAUUACACUGAUUCCACCAGACUCAUUCACUAUUAUAAAUUACGUUAAUCUUAGGGUAAAGAGCAGUUAUACAACAGUAUGUAAUUAGCUUUUUCUCUCCCACACUGCUACACUCAAAUACUACAUUAAUGUUUCCCCAAAAUAUAGGUCAGCUGUUUAAAAGGUACUCAUAGAUGCUUUUCAUAUUAGCCCUUCAUUUUGCAUCAUUUGUAUGGCAGGAGUAGGAAGGGGUGUAUCUACAGGCAGAGGUAUAGCCAGGUCUAAAACUAAGCUAUUUCAGUAAUGA